rnacentral:rRNA from 1 species
GACGAACGCUGGCGGCGUGCUUAACACAUGCAAGUCGAACGGAUCCCAUUCAGUAGCAAUACUGAGGAAGGAUUAGUGGCGAACGGGUGAGUAACACGUGAGAAACCUAUCCUGGUCUCUGGGAUAACAGUCGGAAACAACUGCUAAUACCGGAUGCCGUCGGAGCGUCGCAUGGCGCGCUGACGAAAGGGUUGCUGGAUCAGGAGGGUCUCGCGGCCUAUCAGUUAGUUGGUGGGGUAAAGGCCUACCAAGGCAUCGACGGGUAGCUGGUCUGAGAGGAUGAACAGCCACACUGGGACUGAGACACGGCCAAGACUCCUACGGGAGGCAGCAGUGGGGAAUCUUGCGCAAUGGGCGAAAGCCUGACGCAGCAACGCCGCGUGCGGGAAGAAGGCCUUCGGGUUGUAAACCGCUUUCAGAAGGAACGAAAAUGACGGUACUUUCAGAAGAAGGUGCGGCCAACUACGUGCCAGCCGCCGCCGUAA